rnacentral:rRNA from 1 species
GACGAACGCUGGCGGCGUGCUUAACACAUGCAAGUCGAACGGAAAGGCCCUGCUUUUGUGGGGUGCUCGAGUGGCGAACGGGUGAGUAACACGUGAGUAACCUGCCCUUGACUUUGGGAUAACUUCAGGAAACUGGGGCUAAUACCGGAUAGGAGCUCCUGCUGCAUGGUGGGGGUUGGAAAGUUUCGGCGGUUGGGGAUGGACUCGCGGCUUAUCAGCUUGUUGGUGGGGUAGUGGCUUACCAAGGCUUUGACGGGUAGCCGGCCUGAGAGGGUGACCGGCCACAUUGGGACUGAGAUACGGACCAGACUCCUAUGGGAGGCAGAAGUGGGGAGUAUUGCACAACGGGCGGAAGCCUGAGGCAGAGACGCCGGGUGCGGGAUGACGGCCUGCGGGUUGUAAACCGCUUUCGCCUGUGACGAAGCGUGAGUGACGGUAAUGGGUAAAGAAGCACCGGCUAACUACGUG